rnacentral:rRNA from 1 species
CGGACGCCAGGGGAUCGGCCUGCGGCCCAUUAUUUAAUCCUAGUUGGUAGGGUAACGGCCUACCAAGGGUACGAUGGGUAGCUGGUCUGAGAGGAUGAUCAGCCACACUGGAACUGAGACACGGUCCAGACUCCUACGGGAGGCAGCAGUGGGGAAUAUUGGACAAUGGGCGCAAGCCUGAUCCAGCCACGCCGCGUGGGUGAUGAAGGCCUUCGGGGUUGUAAAGCCCUGUCGGAGGGGACGAAGUCUUCGGAUUGACGGUACCUUCCAAGAAAGCACCGGCUAACUCCGUGCCAGCAGCCGCGGUAAUACGGAGGGUGCAAGCGUUGCUCGGAAUUACUGGGCGUAAAGCGUACGCAGGCGGUCUGAUAAGUCGGGUGUGAAAGCCCCGGGGCUCAACCCGGGAACUGCAUUCGAAAACUGCCAGACUUGAGUUUGGGAGAGGGAAGUGGAAUUCCUGGUGUAGAG